CCUACGGGAGGCAGCAGUGGGGAAUUUUGCGCAAUGCUCGUAAGAGUGACGCAGCGACGCCGCGUGAAUGACGAAGGCCUUCGGGUCGUAAAGUUCUUUCGACAGGGAAGAAAAUGCCUAUAAGUAACUGUGUAUGUAUUGACGGUACCUGUAUAAGCAGCACCGGAUAACUCCGUGCCAGCAGCCGCGGUAAUACGGAGGGGGCGAGCGUUGUUCGGAGGGACUGGGCGUAAAGAGCACGUAGGAGGUGUUGUAAGUCAUUAGUCAAAGACUAGAGCUCAACUUUAGUAAGGCUAGUGAUACUAUAAUACUAGAGUAUCAGAGAGGAUUGCAGAAGUCCUGGUGUAGCAGUGAAAUGCGUAGAUAUCAGGAGGAAUACCGUUAGCGAAGGCGGCAAUCUGGCUGGAAACUGACGCUGAGGUGCGAAAGCGUGGGUAGCAAACAGGAUUAGAUACCCGUGUAGUC
rnacentral:rRNA from 1 species